UUUCCACGACAAUUUGGCGUCAAUGGCUGGGCUGCGCGAGUAUUUCAGCUUUUCUGGACAACAAGCAAACCAGAGGACGCUCGUGGAAAAUUUUCACCCCGAAGUCUGUGUUGACGCGACGGCAGUUUGUCCUUUAUUGAGCAGAGUGAAAGACCGACGCAGCCUUACUACUGACUGUAUGUACAACAAGAAGUGAGAUUUCUUGGAUCAUGACAUUUCUGCAAAGGGAAAGAAACUCUGCGCUGAAAGAGUAUCUGCAAUCCAGAAGAUUCUCAAGCCUCUGAUGAAGAAACAGAUUCUAUCUUUCCUAGAGGGAGACGGGGAACUACAUGACUGUGUUGUACUGAAUAACGAACACUGCUCUCCUAGAGUCAACCUGGAAGAUGUUCCAUUGGAAAACUCAGAUCUGAUCCUCUUUGUGGACGGGUCAAUGUCACGUGACCCAGAGACAGACCUCCAAGCAUGAGCUACAGACGAGGAAAAGGCUGUGUGGCAGAAAGCAGGCUGCACGGUUGUUGAAAGAGUUUGGCGGUGCCCCCAGGGCUGUCCUUGUCUUCAAAGUUGACACAUGGCACGGACCAUGCAUCAAAACGGGAAAUGAUAGCUGCGUUAAAGCAUUGGUUUCUCUAAUUACUCUAAUAAAAAAAAAAUGUUUACGCUGUUUGCGCAACUCAUAACAUGGGUUGAGGUUUGAAGGUAGAGAAGGCCAUGUCCCUACGUCCAAACAGGACUCAGACGCGGUAGUGAUAAUGAUAUUCUCCAGUGAUAAUGGCACACCUUUUGUGAGCCAUGCCCUUAAGUAGGUGGGUGAAUAUUUGGGUAUUGAAUUAAAGCAUCACUGUGCAUAUCAUCCAGCUAGUGGUGGGGUGGCAGAGAAAGAAAAUGGGACACUGAAAAACAGACUGAGCAAAUACUGUUCUGAAACAGGCUUAGGAUGGGCUUAGCCCCUUUGGGAUACUGUUUGGGAGACCUCCACACACAGGAAUUGGACCUGUGACAGCUCCUCUUCCUGAUGCUGCAGCAUGUGAUGAUGCAAUGUUAGGUUACUGUGCAACCUUGUCCUCUGCUCUGCACUCUAUCCAUAAGCAGGUAAAGGCAGCAUUUCCAACUCCAGCCACAGUUCCGCUGCAUGAUCUGAAGUCCGGAGAGUGGGCCAUGAUCAAGGACUUCCGCAGGACCAGGUGGAACAAGCCACGAUGGACUGGGCCAUUCUAGAUCCUUUUUGUCACUCACUCCAUGGUAAAGGCCAGCCAGAGAGCCAUGUGGAUGCAUGCGAGCCACUGCAGGAGGGUGCCAGAGCCGAGCACUGAGCUGGAGAAGACCGGACUGCAAUAGGAGAACUAGACCAUAAUUCUCUAUCAAGAGGCCUCUAGGAGGACCUACGCUCACGAGCAACGAUCUGCAUAUACACACCCACACACAUGACGCACUACACCCCGACACGUCAACACACCAAUUCCACGCGACUCCACGAUAGACAGUCUUAAGUGAUAUCUAGUAGCCUGCGAAAUCACAUGUAGUCUUUGGAGAAAAUGUUGAUGACACGGAAACUGUACUCUUAGGAGGACUGAACUUCAUUAGUGCAUACUAUAUAGCCAUGUGACCAGGACAAAGGUUAGACGACAUGACUUUGCUACCGCACCUCUUAUGCCCCAAAGCUCCCUGACCACAGACUACUGUUGCAGACUAGACACAAAUCAUUAGAUGUCGACCUGCACAUCCACUCAUACAUACAAACCUAUUCCUAAUCGUGCACCCUUCUCCUGGUACAGGUGGUAUCUCUUAGUAAGCCCUUUCAUAGAAAUAAACUCACAAAUCACUGGGACCGUUCAAGACAACACUGGGGGCCCAGUGUUGUCGGGAAAGAUAAACCAUCCAGCCAUCCAUCUUCUACCGCUUACUCCUUCUUCAGGGUCGCGGGGGAACCUGGAGCCAAUCCCAGGGAGCAUCGGGCACAAGGAGGGGUACACCCUGGACAGGCUGCCAGUCCAUUGCAGGGCACAAUCACAUACACACUCACACACCCAUUCAUACACUAUGGACACUUUAGACACACCAAUCAGCCUACCAUGCAUUUCUUUGGACUGGGGGAGGAAACCGGAGUACCCAGAGGAAACCCCCACAGCACGUUCUGUAUCGCCUUUUGUCAUAAGAAUCAUUGCCAACAGUGCUACCCACGCAACGUCACACGUCCCCUUGUCACGCAGACACAUAAUGGUUAUUCUAUCAUUGAACACAUGCGGUCUGCGAUACGUAACCCUCCACAGACUAGCGAGAUGGGGUUUGAUUGGCUGAACUCAGUACUCGGGGGAUGGGGCUCAUGGAUAUUAACCGUCUGUCUACCAAUAGGUGCAAUAAUUCUUCUUAUCUUGCUCAUUUUGCCUUGUAUUGUUGCUCUCGUUCGGAGCAGUCUCUCACGCUCGUUGAAAUCACUAAUGACCAAACGCUGACGUUGACAAAGACUGAGUACGAUCCCUAUGAUGACCAACCUGACUUGUAUCCUAAACCUGACCAGGUAUCAGAUUCUCCAAGCGACAAUGAUGAUGACGACCCAUUGACAUCCAUUUCACAUCUAUUGUAAAUAUGCAUUUGACCAUGACGAUUCUCAUUUCACUCUAAAAUAAGCUUGCUUGACUACAGGAUACUUUAUAUCCGCAAAAACAGCCUUAGCGCCUUCAUUAUGUCUGUAUCAUGUUGAAUUCAGUUGAAACGUGAAAGGAUUCUGAAGUUCUGAUGUAUUCACAGCAAAGUAAUUUCUCUGUUAAUUUUAGUUAUCAUAUUUUGUAAUGAUAAAAUGGGGGAAAUGAGAGGGAAAUUACUCAUUUUUACUUUGUAAUAAGUUUGUUCUUGCUCAUGUUCAUCUGAGGAUAACGCCUAAGAAGGCCAUGUCAUGUCACUGAGAUCAGUACAGAAUGUUUAUCUGCUUACAGAGACACAAACAUGUUCUUCUGUUCAAGGUUCGCCUGUACAAGAUCCUAAAACAAAGCCUGUUUGAACUGCCUCAAACUGCUUCUUAUCGGUACGCAGAAUUAUGUCAUGCUCUGCUUUUCAUAUAUAUAGUAGUGGUUUAAUACAAGGCCUUCAGAGCGCUCUCAUUAUUCUCUCCUGCUUUAUUCUAUCCUGUACUAACCAUCUUUCUGUAACAAACCUUUUUACCUUCAGAGGACGAGUCUGCAAGUGUUGUCUAAUUUCCACGACAAAACACACACACACACAGUAGAGACACGACAUAGGGGCAGUGGUGACUCAGUGGUUAAAUGCUCUGGGUUACUGAUCAGAAGGUCAGGAGUUCAAGCCCCAGCACUGCCAAGCUACCACUGUUGGGCCCUUGAGCAAGGCCCUUAACCCUCUACUGCUCAGUUGUAUAAAUGAGAUAAAUGUAAAUCGCUCUGGAUAAGGGCAUCUGUCAAAUUCCCAUAAAUGUGAUAUACUAUAAUAUAAUAUAUAUUACCUAGUGCAGGCCUAAUGACAGUCAUUUUUAAAACUUUUUUUUUGUUACUUAGGUUUAGGUUAAGGUUAGUGAUAGGUGUAAGUUCCUUACAAGAAUAGCAAGACAAAGGUGUUGGUGUGUGUGUGUGUGUGUGUGUGUGUGUGAGUGACACACAGACCCACCUGAGGCCUGCACUUCAGUGACGUACUGCAGCAGCUCCUGGCCCUGGUGGAUGGCUUGGAACGUCAGGUUGUUCAUAGUCAGCGCUUUCUCUGCGUGCUGCUGAAGCCUCUGCUCAGCCACAGUCAACUCCUCAGUGUCAAACUCCCUGAGCUGCUGAGACAACUCAUCACUCCACGACUCCAGGUCCGAGAUCACCUAUAAACACACACGUGUGCACACACACACACACAAACACACACAGAAACAAUGGUCAAGGCCAAAAUGA